CGGAGUGGUGUGGUCCAGCUGGCGCCACCACGGGCUCCGUGGCGGGAAUCCCGUGGACUGCCUGGCACGAAUGGGCUCCGUCUGUCUCCAGCUGGGCUGGGGACAUCUCUGAUUUUGUGGGGCGGUCGAUGCUUUGGAGGUUGACCCGGUUGUAGAGGGUGAGGCACCUGGAGGCUUGCAGGGCGGAGGCCGGGAGUUCGGCCUGAUGUGCAGGAAGUCGUGGCCAGGGAGACACACGCUGCAGCCAGCGGCAGAAACGGGGAGCAGACGGUGUCCGGGAGGAUGCCGCCUCCUCACCCGCAGCAGGUGGGCCCGGUCCUUGCGCAGGGACUCCUUGAGGCCAUAGUAGCCUUUGACUAUGGCAGGAGGCUGAAAAGCUGGAUGACCAUACAAGUUGCUUGCGUUUGCUCCAUGAAGAUGCAGGACAGGAGCAAGAGGAGCAUGUUGGAGACGAUGAAGGUGACGAUGUAGAGAAUGCAGCAGCCCCACAGCAUGAGGUGCGUGGCCGUGGCCGUCUGCAGCGAGGUUGUGCCAAAGAGCAGCAGGGAGAUGCAGGCCAGCAGGUAGCCCAGCCUGAAGAUGCUGAUGUGAGGGGCUUCUUUGACGAAUACCACCACUGCAACCUUUCAGAAGAGGUAGUGAAUGAUACCCACCUUCAGCACGUCAAGGUAGGAAUCAAGUGGGGCACAGGGUUGGGCUUCCCCAGCCCCCUCCCCCCGGCUCCAGGUGGUCACACAGAGUCACUCUUCAGUGCACUUGGCAGAGAACACCUGUCACUGCUGAAAGGCUCAGAGCAGCAGCACAAGUUACUGAUGAAGCUGGUGGAGUUGAAGGUGCUGAAGAGGUCAGGUAGGUACAAUCACUUGUUGAGUGUGGAGUUCCUGAGGAUGGUCUGACCGGACCUGGAGCCACUCCUCGUCACUCCUAGCCACCUCUUUCCUAAGUUCCAUGGGGUGGUGUGUGUGGAGUUUUAGGAAUGAGGUUCUGGAGCUCAACUGUAAGACCUGUGAGGUCCUGACAGAGGUCUUCCAGAGGCUGCAGUUCAAGGUCACGUAUUUGGAGCAGAGGAACCUGACAGAAGUUGGUGCCUCAGCUCUCUUUGACAUGAUGGAGUACUAUGAGUCCACCCCUUCUCCCCCACAUCUCCUUCAACAGGCACUUCAGCACUGUGGGCCAGUAGGUUGCUGCCCAGGUCUAGGCAGGAACACCUGUAAAAUGAUAGUGCAGGUGUCCUAAAGCCAGCUCAAGGAGGACAGAAACCUCAAUGAAUUCGAAACUCAUGAAGCAGAAGGGCUUGCUUGAUCUUCAUUUUCAGUAUAUGAAUACAGACAGUGGAAACAGGGCCUCAGAUCCUUGUGACCUUUUGGGUUUUAAGCAGGUGUCAGAAAAGUUACCAUAGGGAUAUCCUGGCUGGUGGCAGCCAGGUGUUCAUAGUGAGGUUGCUUUGUGAUCUUUCCAUGUUCAUUGUGAAGCAGAAUUCACCAAGCAUUGGAUUAUUCACCCACUAAUAGGGAAUGUGAGUUUGAAUUAGAUUAUGGUGGGACAGGUUAGUUUUACCCUACUGAUGAUGUGCUGUUGCCAUGGUAAUCCUGCUCAGUACAAGAGCAAACAUCCUGUCACUUUAAAUAAUCACAAUUCUGGAAUUCACUUUAACUUCAGAGAAGUGUUCUGAGCUUCACACUUAUGAAUUCUAUUUUGUUAAUGCUAUUGGAAUGAGAAGUUUAGCAAACUUAACUACAGUCAUCUUUAGAUAUUCAGAAUUUUGUUCCUAGAAGGAUUUUGGAGAUUAUCUGGCCUGAGGAUUAAACAGCAGCUACUCAGUGCCAAUCAAUUAUUGCCAGAAUGGAAGGAGGGCUCAGUGAUGCUGGAUCUUCCAACUUAAAAAUAAGCCAGAAAUUUGGAUACUUAUGGAAAAUCUUCAAAAAUUUAAAUGGCACCAGUGAAUUAAAAACUCUUAAAACUCUGUUAAGGUCCGGGUCCCUGCUCUUUUAGUUUAU
rnacentral:ncRNA from 1 species